rnacentral:rRNA from 1 species
CAGCAGCCGCGGUAAUACGAAGGGUGCAAGCGUUAAUCGGAAUUACUGGGCGUAAAGCGUGCGUAGGCGGUGAGUUAAGUCUGCUGUGAAAUCCCCGGGCUCAACCUGGGAAUGGCAGUGGAUACUGGCUCGCUAGAGUGUGUCAGAGGAUGGUGGAAUUCCCGGUGUAGCGGUGAAAUGCGUAGAGAUCGGGAGGAACAUCAGUGGCGAAGGCGGCCAUCUGGGACAACACUGACGCUGAGGCACGAAAGCGUGGGGAGCAAACAGGAUUAGAUACCCCAGUAGUCCCUGUCUCUUAUAC